rnacentral:tRNA from 1 species
CGAUUAAAGCAUGGCACUGAAGAUGCCAAGAUGGCUGCCAUUCAUGCACCCGAGGACA